CAACGAGCGCAACCCACAUCCCUAGUUGCCAGCAGNUCGGCUGGGCACUCUAUGGAAACUGCCCGUGAUAAGCGGGAGGAAGGUGUGGAUGACGUCAAGUCCUCAUGGCCCUUACGGGUUGGGCUACACACGUGUCUACAAUGGUGUCUACAGUGGGUUAAUCCCCAAAAGACAUCUCAGUUCGGAUUGUCGUCUGCAACUCGACGGCAUGAAGUCGGAAUCGCUAGUAAUCGCGUAACAGCAUGACGCGGUGAAUACGUUCCCGGGCCUUGUACACACCGCCCGUCACACCAUGGGUAGUUGGGUUCACCCGAAGGCCGUGCGCCAACCUUUACAGGGGGCAGCGGACCACGGUGAGCUCAGCGACUGGGGUGAAGUCGUCACAAGGUAGCC
rnacentral:rRNA from 1 species